AGUGAACGCUGGCGGUAGGCCUAACACAUGCAAGUCGAACGGCAGCACAGGAGAGCUUGCUCUCUGGGUGGCGAGUGGCGGACGGGUGAGGAAUACAUCGGAAUCUACUCUGUCGUGGAGGAUAACGUAGGGAAACUUACGCUAAUACCGCAUACGACCUACGGGUGAAAGCAGGGGAUCUUCGGACCUUGCGCGAUUGAAUGAGCCGAUGUCGGAUUAGCUAGUUGGCGGGGUAAAGGCCCACCAAGGCGACGAUCCGUAGCUGGUCUGAGCGGAUGAUCAGCCACACUGGAACUGAGACACGGUCCAGACUCCUACGGGAGGCAGCAGUGGGGAAUAUUGGACAAUGGGCGCAAGCCUGAUCCAGCCAUGCCGCGUGGGUGAAGAAGGCCUUCGGGUUGUAAAGCCCUUUUGUUGGGAAAGAAAUCCAGCUGGCUAAUACCCGGUUGGGAUGACGGUACCCAAAGAAUAAGCACCGGCUAACUUCGUGCCAGCAGCCGCAGUAA
rnacentral:rRNA from 1 species